GAUGUUUCGAAAGAAGAAAAUGUAGAAUCCAUGAUGAAAACUGUGGUUGAUCGAUGGGGAACAGUUGAUAUCUUGAUCAAUAAUACAGGUAUCACGCGUGAUACCUUGUUGAUGAGAAUGAAUAAGUCUCAGUGGCAGGAGGUUAUUGAUUU